UACGUAGGGCGCAAGCGUUGUCCGGAAUUAUUGGGCGUAAAGAGCUCGUAGGCGGCUUGUCGCGUCGUUCGUGAAAACCCACAGCUCAACUGUGGGCUUGCGGUCGAUACGGGCAGGCUAGAGUUCGGUAGGGGAGACUGGAAUUCCUGGUGUAGCGGUGAAAUGCGCAGAUAUCUGGAGGAACACCGGUGGCGAAGGCGGCAUCCUGGACCGACACUGACGCUGAGGAGCGAAAGCCAGGGGAGCAAACGGG
rnacentral:rRNA from 1 species